UCCGAGUUGACCCCGGCAGUCUCCUACGAGUCCCCGGCAUUAUCCGCUGGCAACAUAGGACGAGGGUUGCGCUCGUUGCGGGACUUAACCCAACAUCUCACGACACGAGCUGACGACAGCCAUGCAGCACCUGUGUGUAGGUCCCGUAAGGGAAGGAAACUGUCUCCAGUAACCGUCCUACCAUGUCAAACGCUGGUAAGGUUCUGCGCGUUGCUUCGAAUUAAACCACAUCAUCCACCGCUUGUGCGGGUCCCCGUCAAUUUCUUUGAGUUUUAACCUUGCGGCCGUACUCCCCAGGCGGAUAACUUAAUGCGUUAGCUGCGCCACCGAAAGCCUAAGGCCCCCGACAGCUAGUUAUCAUCGUUUACGGCGUGGACUAC
rnacentral:misc_RNA from 1 species